rnacentral:lncRNA from 13 species
CAAUUUAUUCAGCUCCCGGGCAACCUCAGUGGCCCAAGAGGAGCCAGAGAAGUCGCACCUAGCUGUUCAGGGAGUGGGGUUUUAUGGGGUGUGCAGGCAAUUGAUUGGUUACUGAGAAACAAAGAGAAGGCAUUUCUAUUGGCUGUUGAGGAGCAGGAAGUACAUGGAGUUAAAGUAGGAAGUACAUGAAACUAGCUGUCAUUGGUAGGUGGGCAGGACCUUGGGUACCCUGCCCACCUACCAAUGGGGGGGUACGGAGCAGGGAACUGUGGGAUUUCUUUUAAAAAAAUUUGUCUGCAGGGUAUUUAACAGCGGGCUGGAGGUUGGAUGGAUAAUUUAGUGCUGAGUGUGAGCUUGGGCAUGGUAUGCAGAGUUCUCAAGACAUUCUGCAUUUUCGUUGUCUCGUGGGAGAACCGUGAAUUUUUCAGGUAAAAAGAAGACAAUAAUCACUAUUGAAGAUAUGAACAUCUCAUCCAUGAAGAGGAUUAAAAACUGUGUAAACCAGAAAGCCCAUGUAAUCAUUCAAUCACAUGGCCAUCUCUUUGAGAAGAUAGGUUUUAGCUAUCAUCAAAGAAGUGUGGAGUACAAGAUGCUGGUAGAUCUACUAUUCUGGGAUCAGAUGGAUGGUGGUCCUCUUCUCACAGCUCCACUAGGCAGUGCCCCGGUGAGGAUUCUGUGUGGGGGCUCAAAUGUCACAGUUUCCUUCCACAUUGCCCUAGCAGAGGUUCUCAAUGAGGCCAGCCCCUCACUGUAGUAAGCUUCUCUUUGGGCAUCCAGGCAAUUCUAUACAUCCUCAAAAAUCUAGGCAGAGGUUUGCAAACCUCAAUUUUUGACUCCUGUGUACCCACAGGCCCAAUAUCAUGUGUAAACCACCAAGGUUUGGGGCUUGUACCUUCUGAAGCAACAGCCUGAGCUAUACAUUGGUCCCUUGUAGCCAUGGCUGGAGCUGAAACAGCUGGGAUGCAGGGCACCAUGGUUGGAGGCUGCAUAGAGGUGGGAUGCCUUGGGUCUAGCCCACAAAACCAUUUUUCCCUCCUAGGCCUUUAGGCCUGUGAUGUAAGGGGCUAACAUGAAGAUCUCUGACAUGCUCUGGAGACAUUCUGCCUCUUGUCUUUGUGAUUAAUAUUUGGCUACUCCUUCCUUAUCCAAAUUUCUGCAGCCCACUCAAAUUUCUUUCCAGAAAUUAGAUUUUUCUCUUAUACUGAAUUAUAAGACUGAAAAUUUUUCAAACUGUCAUGCUGUCACAUCUUGAAUGCUU